rnacentral:rRNA from 1 species
UUAGGAAUUUUGGGCAAUGGGCGAAAGCCUGACCCAGCAACGCCGCGUGGGGGACGAAGGCCUUCGGGUCGUAAACCCCUUUUCCGAGGGAAGAUAGUGACGGUACCUCGGGAAUAAGCCCCGGCUAACUACGUGCCAGCAGCCGCGGUAAUACGUAGGGGGCUAGCGUUGUCCGGAUUUAUUGGGCGUAAAGCGCACGCAGGCGGCGCGGCAAGUGGUCGGUGAAAUCCUCCGGCUCAACUGGAGGGGGUCCGGCCAUACUGCCGUGCUCGAGGUCGCGAGGGGGAAGCGGAAUUCCCGGUGUAGUGGUGGAAUGCGUAGAUAUCGGGAGGAACACCAGUGGCGAAGGCGGCUUCCUGGCGCGAUUCUGACGCUGAGGUGCGAAAGCGUGGGGAGCGAUCCG